rnacentral:rRNA from 1 species
GGAGUUUGGGCCGUGUCUCAGUCCCAAUGUGGCCGGUCACCCUCUCAGGUCGGCUACUGAUCGUCGCCUUGGUGGGCCGUUACCCCUCCAACUAGCUAAUCAGACGCGGGUCCAUCCCAUACCGAUAAAAUCUUUUCACACUGUACCAUGCAGUACUGUGCGCUUAUGCGGUAUUAGCAGCCGUUUCCAGCUGUUGUUCCCCUGUAUGGGGCAGGUUACCCACGCGUUACUCACCCGUCCGCCACUGAAAGAAUUCCGAAGAAUUCUUUCCGUUCGACUUGCAUGUGUUAGGCACGCCGCCAGCGUUCAUC